UACGAAGGGGUGCAAGCGUUACUCGGUAAUUACUGGGCGUAAAGCGUGCGUAGGCGGUUUGUUAAGCCGUUGUGAAAGCCCUGGGCUCAACCUGGAAUUGCAGUGGAUACUGGCGAGCUAGAGUGCGGUAGAGGAUGGUGGAAUUCCCGGUGUAGCGGUAGAAAUGCGUAGAGAUCGGGAGGAACACCCGUGGCGAAGGCGGCCGACUCUGGA
rnacentral:rRNA from 1 species